rnacentral:rRNA from 1 species
CCUAACACAUGCAAGUCGAGCGGUAACAGGUGUAGCAAUACAUGCUGACGAGCGGCGAACGGGUGAGUAAUGCUUUGGAAUCUUCCCAGUAGUGGGGAACAACCAGUCGAAAGAUUGGCUAAUACCGCAUACGUCUGUGAAGAGAAAGCGGGGGAUCGUAAGACCUCGCGCUAUUGGAUGAGCCAAAGUCGGAUUAGCUUGUUGGUGAGGUAAUGGCUCACCAAGGCGACAAUCCGUAGCUGGUCGGAGAGGACGACCAGCCACACCGGAACUGAGACACGGUCCGGACUCCUACGGGAGGCAGCAGUGGGGAAUAUUGGACAAUGGGGGAAACCCUGAUCCAGCGACGCCGCGUGUGUGAAGAAGGCCUGCGGGUUGUAAAGCACUUUUAGUGGGGACAAAAAGUCACGGAUUAAUACUUCGUGAUCUUGAUUUAACUCACAGAAAAAGCACCGGCUAACUCUGUGCCAGCAGCCGCGGUAAU